UCUCAACUCGGGUGAAACCUUUGGAGAAUUUUCUUCAGAGUUUUUGAGCCGAUAUUCAUGAUUUACAAGAUUUGUUUUGGUAAAGGACGCUCUAUACCCAGUCUGGAGCCCAAGGCAAGGCCCAAACCCAUGACUCUGAGGUCAAGACCCAAACCAAGAUCAGAGUCAGAUGCUUAGCCAACUGAGCCACACAGGCUCCCU